rnacentral:lncRNA from 1 species
GCCGGUUAGAACUUUCAAUCCCCGCCUCCCGCCCUGAUCCCCCACAUCCGGGGAGGGGAGAGAGGCCAAUGGCCAUUGGCCAAUGGCCAAUGAUUUAAUCAAUCAUACCUAUGUAAUGUGGUCUCCAUAAGAGCCCAAGAGGAGAGGGUUUAGAAAACUUCCAGACUGGUGAACAUGUGGAGAUUGGGGAGAGUGGAGCACCUGGAGAAGACGUGGAAGCUAAGUUUUUCCCCCAUAUCUUGCCCUAGGCGUCUCUUCCAUCUGGCUGUUCCUGAGUUAUAUCCUUUUAUAAUAAGCCAGUGAUCUAGAUCAUUGGGACAGUUGGAGAAACAGAUCAAGCUUCCAGGAACAAUACCUUGAGGCACGCCACAGACCGGGAGGGAGUUGUUGUCUGUCACCACCACAAACUCCAGAACCACUCCACAGAUCUGUCCUGAGGAGGAAGCGGCCACCGCCACUGCCACUGACUCCAUAACCGUAUUUCACGGAUUAGAGAGGAGACUCCAUCACUACCUCUACCUCUGGCGCCAUUCAUACCAUCAAAACAUGAAUUUCCCAUGCAGACCCUAUUUUCCCGCAGGGCUGAAACCAGUACAACAACAAAGAGCCUAAUGGAACUUCAAUAUUAGAUUAAUAGGAUUCACGUUUGUCAAAUGGAAAGCUGGCUAAGUGGGCGAAUUCUUUAAUCGAGUGAUCAGAUUUGAGGACCAGAGGCAGCCUGCUCAGUGCAAAGUACCCUCCGAAAACCUAAGUUGAAAAUAAAAUCAGAAGAGAAAGAAGAUAUGAAGUGGAACAAUGUGGUUGGGAAAUCCCCACGCCUUUACCCUUUAAAAAAAAGAAAGAAAGAAAAGAAAAAGAAACUGUCUUGUAAGUAAG